rnacentral:rRNA from 1 species
CCUACGGGUGGCAGCAGUGGGGAAUAUUGGACAAUGGGGGGAACCCUGAUCCAGCCAUGCCGCGUGUGUGAAGAAGGCCCUCGGGUUGUAAAGCACUUUCAGUGAGGAAGAACGCCUGGUGGUUAAUACCCAUCAGGAAAGACAUCACUCACAGAAGAAGCACCGGCUAACUCCGUGCCAGCAGCCGUGGUAAUACGGAGGGUGCGAGCGUUAAUCGGAAUUACUGGGCGUAAAGCGCGCGUAGGUGGCUUGAUAAGCCGGUUGUGAAAGCCCCGGGCUCAACCUGGGAACGGCAUCCGGAACUGUCAAGCUAGAGUGCAGGAGAGGAAGGUAGAAGUCCCGGUGUAGCGGUGAAAUGCGUAGAGAUCGGGAGGAAUACCAGUGGCGAAGGCGGCCUUCUGGACUGACACUGACACUGAGGUGCGAAAGCGUGGGUAGCAAACAGGAUUAGAUACCCCAGUAGUC